AUACGGAGGGGGUUAGCGUUGUUCGGAAUUACUGGGCGUAAAGCGCACGUAGGCGGACUGGAAAGUUGGGGGUGAAAUCCCGGGGCUCAACCCCGGAACUGCCUCCAAAACUUCCAAUCUAGAGAUCGAGAGAGGUAAGUGGAAUUCCUAGUGUAGAGGUGAAAUUCGUAGAUAUUAGGAGGAACACCUGUGGCGAAGGCGGCUUACUGGCUCGAUACUGACGCUGAGGUGCGAAAGCGUGGGGAGCAAACAGGAUUAGAUACCCUAGUAGUCC
rnacentral:rRNA from 1 species